AACAGGAUUAGAUACCCUGGUAGUCCACGCCGUAAACGAUGUCGACUUGGAGGUUGUUCCCUUGAGGAGUGGCUUCCGGAGCUAACGCGUUAAGUCGACCGCCUGGGGAGUACGGCCGCAAGGUUAAAACUCAAAUGAAUUGACGGGGGCCCGCACAAGCGGUGGAGCAUGUGGUUUAAUUCGAUGCAACGCGAAGAACCUUACCUACUCUUGACAUCCAGAGAACUUAGCAGAGAUGCUUUGGUGCCUUCGGGAACUCUGAGACAGGUGCUGCAUGGCUGUCGUCAGCUCGUGUUGUGAAAUGUUGGGUUAAGUCCCGCAACGAGCGCAACCCUUAUCCUUUGUUGCCAGCGGUUCGGCCGGGAACUCAAAGGAGACUGCCAGUGAUAAACUGGAGGAAGGUGGGGAUGACGUCAAGUCAUCAUGGCCCUUACGAGUAGGGCUACACACGUGCUACAAUGGCGUAUACAAAGAGAAGCGACCUCGCGAGAGCAAGCGGACCUCAUAAAGUACGUCGUAGUCCGGAUUGGAGUCUGCAACUCGACUCCAUGAAGUCGGAAUCGCUAGUAAUCGUAGAUCAGAAUGCUACGGUGAAUACGUUCCCGGGCCUUGUACACACCGCCCGUCACACCAUGGGAGUGGGUUGCAAAAGAAGUAGGUAGCUUAACCUUCGGGAGGGCGCUUACCACUUUGUGAUUCAUGACUGGGGUGAAGUCGUAACAAGGUAACC
rnacentral:rRNA from 1 species